GUUGUUGCUAAGGUCCUUCCAUCUUUAGGUCCCUUCUUGUUGUAACCGUAAGGUCUUCUUUCUCUCCCCUUCUUACCCCUCCAACCUCUCAGCUGUUGGGUGCCAUCUGUAUCUCCAUGGCUAGCGUUGUGAUCUCCGUUGCAGCUACGCUACCUGCUUGACGAAGUCCGUCGCCACAAGAACUACCUCCGCGUCAUCCACAACAUGGAGAGGCCCGGUUUGUUGCUCAAUCCGCUAGCUUUAUCCGUCUUCAAAGAGCGUGGCAGUACGUAUGUAGCCUACAGUUUGCCGUGACCACCUCUGAUGAGCUUGUAGCCAACAAUGAUGACUGUGCUAUCUGCUGGGACUCCAUGACUACAGAACGCAAGCUACCGUUUGGAUAUCUCUUCCACAACUCCUGCCCGCGCUCUUGGUCGGAGCAGUACACGUCGUGUCCCACAUGCCAUAUGUCUCUUAACAUCAGUGAGGGGGCCGGAAGGGAGAGAGAGAAGAUGCAGAGGGAGCCCCUGCUGGAGGAUAACAUGGGCCCUGGAGGCCCCGGGCCCAAGGCACGGCAACACCUCAACCAGCACAACCACUUUUUCCACUUUGACAGUGAUGCCCCAAAACUCAUCCAGUAUCUUCAUUUCUCUCCUAGCUGUCAGAACUACUCCAUUUACGUAUGUAUGCAUUUUAUUUAACUGGGAAAGGAUACAUUAAUCAACAGUUUGGCUUCCUCAUCAAUGUUAAUGUUCCUAUGAAAAUAAAUUACAUCAGUAGUCCCUACUAGUUUUGUUGUUGUUUUCUGCAUCAGGCCUUAGUAUCUGUUGGGCUAAGAGCCUGCGCGAAAGUAACACCCAUACAAUAUGCAGAUAGACAUCCCCUCAGCGGUUACGCUGAAACAGUUAGCGACUCUUCAGGCUUUUCUCUAAACACAAGACACCCGAAUACAGUGUAGAAAGUAUAUCUCUCAUGACUAUUCUAUGAGCUUGAACUUACAUGUAUUUCACCCUUACAAGGUUCUCGCAUUGCAAGCUGGCCGCCCAAUUUCUCAUCCCAGCUUAAUGCCAUGGUCCAUUGAUCCAUGACUUGUGUGCUUCCAGUGCCCUGUGCACUUAGUGAGAGGGGGGGUGAAUGGUAUCACAAUAUCUUUAGGACCAUCAGAUCGGCAGAUGUUUCCUUGGGUUCCCUACCAUCUGGUGCUCCAGGACCUGCAGCUGACCCCUCUGUAGAGGUCACCACUGACAACUUCCUGGUGGGACGAAUCGUGGUGCC